GAUGAACGCUGGCGGCGUGCCUAAUACAUGCAAGUCGAGCGAAUGGAUUAAGAGCUUGCUCUUAUGAAGUUAGCGGCGGACGGGUGAGUAACACGUGGGAACCUGCCCAUAAGACUGGGAUAACUCCGGGAAACCGGGGCUAAUACCGGAUAACAUUUUGAACCGCAUGGUUCGAAAUUGAAAGGCGGCUUCGGCUGUCACUUAUGGAUGGACCCGCGUCGCAUUAGCUAGUUGGUGAGGUAACGGCUCACCAAGGCAACGAUGCGUAGCCGACCUGAGAGUGUGAUCGACCACACUGGGACGGAGACACGGCCCAGACUCCUACGGGAGGUAGCAGUAGGGAAUCUUCCGCAAUGGACGAAAGUCUGACGGAGCAACGCCGCGUGAGUGAUGAAGGCUUUCGGGUCGUAAAACUCUGUUGUUAGGGAAGAACAAGUGCUAGUUGAAUAAGCUGACACCUUGACGGUACCUAACCAGAAAGCCACGGCUAACUACGUGCCAGCCGCCGCAGUAA
rnacentral:rRNA from 1 species